AUUGAACGCUGGCGGCAGGCCUAACACAUGCAAGUCGAGCGGGGUUUUCGGACCUAGCGGCGGACGGGGUGAGUAAUGCGUAGGAAGCUACCCGAUAGAGGGGGAUACCAGUUGGAAACGACUGUUAAUACCGCAUAAUGUCUACGGACCAAAGUGUGGGACCUUCGGGCCACAUGCUAUCGGAUGCGCCUACGUGGGAUUAGCUAGUUGGUGGGGUAAUGGCUCACCAAGGCGACGAUCCCUAGCUGGUUUGAGAGGAUGAUCAGCCACACUGGAACUGAGACACGGUCCAGACUCCUACGGGAGGCAGCAGUGGGAAUAUUGGACAAUGGGCGGAAAGACCUGAUCCAGCCAUGCCGCGUGUGUGAAGAAGGUCUUCGGAUGUUAAAGACACUUU
rnacentral:rRNA from 1 species